UACGUAGGCAGCAAGCGUUGUUCGGAAUUACUGGGCGUAAAGCGUGCGCAGGCGGCUUUGCAAGACAGAUGUGAAAUCCCCGGGCUUAACCUGGGAACUGCAUUUGUGGCUGCAUGGCUGGAGUGCGGCAGAGGGGGAUGGAAUUCCGCGUGUAGCAGUGAAAUGCGUAGAUAUGCGGAGGAACACCGAUGGCGAAGGCAAUCCCCUGGGCCUGCACUGACGCUCAUGCACGAAAGCGUGGGGAGCAAACAGG
rnacentral:rRNA from 1 species